rnacentral:rRNA from 1 species
CUAGUUCAUUUACUUUGAGAAAAUUAGAGUGUUUAAAGCAGCCUCUUGGGGCACUGAAUACAUUAGCAUGGGGAUAAUAAAAUAGGAUCUUCACAAUACUAUUUUAUUGGUUUAAAUUGGAUAUGAAGAUAAUGAUUAAUAGGGACAGUUGGGGGUAUUCAUAUUGGGUGGUUAGCGGUGAAAUGCUCGGAUCCAUUCAAGAUGAACUAAAGCGAAGGCAUUUACCAAGGAUGUUUUCAUUAAUCAAGAACGAAAGUUAAGGGAUCGAAGACGAUUAGAUACCGUCGUAGUCUUAACUAUAAACUAUGCCGACCAGGGAUAUGAGUUGUUAGGAUUAUAUGAAAGUAUAAUCAAUUUCUUCUUAUGGACCUUGUGAGAAAUCAUAAGUUUUUGGGUUCUGGGGGG